rnacentral:rRNA from 1 species
GAUGAACGCUGGCGGCGUGCCUAAUACAUGCAAGUCGAGCGGUAAGGCCACUUCGGUGGUGCACGAGCGGCGGACGGCUGAGUAACACGUAGGAACGUACCCCAAACUGAGGGAUAAGCACCAGAAAUGGUGUCUAAUACCGCAUGUGCUCUUCGGAGUAAAGCUACGGCGGUUUGGGAACGGCCUGCGCAUGAUUAGCUUGUUGGUGAGGUAAUGGCUCACCAAGGCGACGAUCAUUAGCUGGUCUGAGAGGAUGAUCAGCCAGACUGGGACUGAGAACGGCCCAGACUCCUACGGGAGGCAGCAGUAGGGAAUUUUCCACAAUGGACGAAAGUCUGAUGGAGCAACGCCGCGUGCAGGAUGAAGGCUUUCGGGUCGUAAACUGCUUUUAUCUGUGAAGAUUAUGACGGUAGCAGAUGAAUAAGGAUCGGCUAACUCCGUG